UAAAUUUGAUGAUGUUGCGGCUAUAUUGCCCGGUAAAGAAAUUGGUCGUAUUAAGGUAUGAUGCUUCGUCUGUGGAAAGUACCUGCUUUCCUUAUUCCAAUUGAGUCCAACUCGCUUGAGAUGGUUUUGGGUGAUGAGAAGGGUGGAAAAUAGCUUAUUUAUAUGUUUGAUUGGAAGCUUGAAGAGGGCCAGGUAUAUGAGAUGUCGUGUUUCUCUGUUCUUCCCGAGAGUGAUUUAUACCGUACCACCCUUCAUCCAUAUAAACUUGUGUUUCAAAGUAAGGCAAAGGUCAUGCCGUCUAAAAGUUGUUCUAUAUCCCAGUUUGGGUUAAGUUUAACUUAUAUUGCCGAAAUUUGUUCUCACACUUAUUAUGAUUAUGAGUUUUUGGUUGGUAAGUAGUUGUGUAUGCGGUGGAUAUUGUAUAUUGUAUUCGAGUUUUGCAAAAUGUAAUUCAUCAAUUGAUUGAUAGAUGUGAUUUAAAGAUUUUGAUUUUUGUUGUUGUCGUUGAAUUCAAAUGAUUUUAUAUUGAAUUUGAAUACUGAAUGAGUAAAUGAAGUUAGGGUGUUGAGGCUUCAAAAGAGACACGAAUACUGCUUGCUUGGUUACUUGUCCUCGGAGGUUGGAUGGAACUACUAUGACACCAUUAAGGUGGGUUUUUAUUGUUUUGUUUGAAGUUUUUUGCUUUGUAUUUGAUAUAAAUUUAGGUAAUAAACUGAAUUAUAGAUGUUAUUAGUAUUAUGACUGCGAUUCCUGCUGAACUGAGAGUAUGUUCGUGAUGGCAAGGUAACUAAAAUGGUCAUUGUUAAGCUAACUGAUGAUAGGUAUAUGUAAUGUUUAUUUGUGACUGAAUCAUUACUGAUUUUAUUUUCAGUCUUUGAGAUAUUAGUGUCUUCAUUUUCAUCACUAUUUCUGUUGUAAACUGAAUGAACUAAAAAAUAAUUCCAAACAUGGCACAACAAGUGAGGAACAAGCAAGUGAUUCUGAGGGACUAUGUGUCUGGUUUUCCUAAAGAAUCAGACAUGAUCAUUAUUGACAGUACCAUAACUCUAAAGCUUCCAGAAAGUUCCAAUGAUGUUCUGCUAAAAAAUCUCUACUUGGCUUGUGAUCCAUACAUGAGGAAUCUCAUGAACAAACCACAAGGAAUUCCUAAUCCUCUUUCAUAUACCCCUCAAUCUGUAAGUUAAUAAUUUUGUGAAUACCCUUUUGAGUAUAUGUCAAAUUUGAUCCUUAAAGUAGCUUCUUUUAUAUGUAAAUUUUGUCUUUGAAUGGAUCAAUUUGUUAGUUAAGUUUACAACUUUGAUGUGAUAAAUUUCUUAGCAAAUUAAAAAAAUUGGAUUUUUGUUUUUGUUUUAACCCUCUGGUUGGUCUAACAAAGGGUCAUGAUAAUUCAGAGUUCGGCCCAGGUAAGUAAAGUCUGGUCAAUGACUAUUUCAUUAGAAUUUUAACUCUGUUUUCUCGAACGAUUCUUCCUUAAUUGGAGUAGUGGAGUUCAAUUGCUUGAUAUUAGCAAGUGGUCAUGUAAUUUGUAAGAUUGGAGUUUAAGUUUUAUUCUUAAAUCAAGAUUGAAACUAAUCAAAGAAUAAUGUAGAACAUUGAAACAAGUUUUUGUUUAUGUAGCUUCUGUUGAUUUUUGAGUAAAUGCAGGUAAUAGCAGGUUUUAGGGUGUCUAAAGUCCUUGAAUCAGGACACCCUGAUUAUAAAGAAGGUGAUUUCAGGUUUCUGCCAUUUUGUUGCACCUUUUGACAUAUGUUAUGUUUUUCUUUGAUAGCAGGUAAACGUUUUAAACAAGUGAAGAUUGAGAAGGAGUGAUUUCUGUAUUUGUUUUCUAAUAAUGGUGUGAUGCAUAUUGUGAUGUGAAUUUAGUUAGUUGUUGUGUGAAAUCUCCAUGUUGUAAUCGUUGUAUUUAAGUUCUAAGUGAUGGGGAUUUAAAUAAAAUUUUUGUUGUUAUCUACUGGAAGUGUUCUAAGUGUGUUGUGUUAUGUAUCAUCGUCUGUUGAGUGUCCUAAGUCUGUUGUUAUCGUCUGUAGGAAAAUAUUGAAGUUGUGCAAGUUACCACAAUUAGCCCCAAUGCACACGACUAACUGAAAAAAGGAAAAAUACACAAGACACUUAGAACACAGUUAUCAGUUUUCCUGGCAGCUGUUAUUAUAUCGAAUCCCGACCAAGAAUAAGUUAUGUAGGCGGAGGAUUAUGCAGCAACAGUUAUCAGUUUGUGUUUUGUGUGAGCUGACCGCGGAAACGGGGCCUCAUUUGUUCCUUCACUGUAACUGUACUUCGAAGGUGUGGCAUCAAAGUAAUGCAGUGGUUAGGGAUGGUAAUAAUUCUUCUACAAAAUCUGUUUAUGUCUUUUGGGUUGUUAAUCGACAGUGGUUUAUAGAUGGUACUGCAAAAGAUCCUUGCUUACUUUAUGAAUGGAGAUGGAGUCCUUUUGAUUGCUUCUAUCGGUGAGGAGGUGUAGAUCUGGUGUGUGCUCUGUGUGGUGGGAGUUGUUAGGGGUGUUGCUGUGCUGGGUUGUCGCUUUUGGUCCUCUGCGUGAAGUUGUUUUGUGUUGGUUUUUGUGUGUCUCUAGGUUUUGUUCCUGGUUUGAGUGGAUGUAGGAGUUUGUUUAGUUUGUUAUUUUUUUCUAGCCUUUCCUUUGUAUCUUUUUCUCAGCAAACAUCUCUUAUGUUUGGUUGACUUUAUCAAUAAAUUUUGGCUGUUAAAAAAAAUAAUAUAAUGUUUGAGGCCUUGAGGACCUAAUUAUUUAUUUUAAAGGGUUGUUUUGAGAUAUUA